ACGCUCGACACCUACGGGAGGCAGCAGUGGGGAAUAUUGCACAAUGGGGGAAACCCUGAUGCAGCAACGCCGCGUGAGUGAAGAAGUAUUUCGGUAUGUAAAGCUCUAUCAGCAGGGAAGAUAAUGACGGUACCUGACUAAGAAGCUCCGGCUAAAUACGUGCCGGCAGCCGCGGUAAUCUGAGCGGGCUGGCAAGGC
rnacentral:rRNA from 1 species